UACGUAGGGUGCAAGCGUUGUCCGGAAUUAUUGGGCGUAAAGAGCUCGUAGGCGGUUUGUCGCGUCUGCUGUGAAAACUGGAGGCUCAACCUCCAGCCUGCAGUGGGUACGGGCAAACUAGAGUGCGGUAGGGGAGAUUGGAAUUCCUGGUGUAGCGGUGGAAUGCGCAGAUAUCAGGAGGAACACCGGAGUGGCGAAGGCAGGUCUCUGGGCCGAA
rnacentral:rRNA from 1 species